UGGGGAAUAUUGGACAAUGGGCGCAAGCCUGAUCCAGCCAUACCGCGUGGGUGAAGAAGGCCUUCGGGUUGUAAAGCCCUUUUGUUGGGAAAGAAAUCCAGCCGGCUAAUACCUGGUUGGGAUGACGGUACCCAAAGAAUAAGCACCGGCUAACUUCGUGCCAGCAGCCGCGGUAAUACGAAGGGUGCAAGCGUUACUCGGAAUUACUGGGCGUAAAGCGUGCGUAGGUGGUUAUUUAAGUCCGUUGUGAAAGCCCGGGGCUCAACCUGGGAACUGCAGUGGAUACUGGAUGACUAGAAUGUGGUAGAGGGUAGCGGAAUUCCUGGUGUAGCAGUGAAAUGCGUAGAGAUCAGGAGGAACAUCCAUGGCGAAGGCAGCUACCUGGACCAACAUUGACACUGAGGCACGAAAGCGUGGGGAGCAAACA
rnacentral:rRNA from 1 species